ACGAACGCUGGCGGCGUGCUUCGCCCAUGCCAGUCGAACGGAAAGGCCCUGCUUUUGUGGGGUGCUCGAGUGGCGAACGGGUGAGUAACACGUGAGUAACCUGCCCUUGACUUUGGGAUAACUUCAGGAAACUGGGGCUAAUACCGGAUAGGAGCUCCUGCUGCAUGGUGGGGGUUGGAAAGUUUCGGCGGUUGGGGAUGGACUCGCGGCUUAUCAGCUUGUUGGUGGGGUAGUGGCUUACCAAGGCUUUGACGGGUAGCCGGCCUGAGAGGGUGACCGGCCACAUUGGGACUGAGAUACGGCCCAGACUCCUACGGGAGGCAGCAGUGGGGAAUAUUGCACAAUGGGCGGAAGCCUGAUGCGGCAACGCCGCGUGCGGGAUGACGGCCUUCGGGUUGUAAACCGCUUUCGCCUGUGACGAAGCGUGAGUGACGGUAAUGGGUAAAGAAGCACCGGCUAACUACGUG
rnacentral:rRNA from 1 species